rnacentral:rRNA from 1 species
UGGGGAAUAUUGGACAAUGGGCGCAAGCCUGAUCCAGCCAUGCCGCGUGGGUGAUGAAGGCCCUAGGGUUGUAAAGCCCUUUCGGCGGGGAAGAUAAUGACGGUACCCGCAGAAGAAGCCCCGGCUAACUUCGUGCCAGCAGCCGCGGUAAUACGACGGGGGCUAGCGUUGCUCGGAAUUACUGGGCGUAAAGCGCACGUAGGCGGCUUUCUAAGUCGGAGGUGAAAUCCUGGAGCUCAACUCCAGAACUGCCUUCGAUACUGGAGAGCUUGAGUCCGGGAGAGGUGAGUGGAACUGCGAGUGUAGAGGUGAAAUUCGUAGAUAUUCGCAAGAACACCAGUGGCGAAGGCGGCUCACUGGCCCGGUACUGACGCUGAGGUGCGAAAGCGUGGGGAGCAAACA